UUUUUUUUUUUUUUUGGCCUUUUUUAACACUGAAAAAUAAAGUCAGUCUGGUUGUUUUAAUUGAGAUUUUCAUAGCUUCUCUUAGUAAUUUUUCUAAUUUAAGCCAAGGGUAAAUAUCUCAUCUAGUUAAGUAUAUUUACUCAUUUUUUCCCCAGAUUUCUAUCUACUUCUUUCAAACACUCUAGUUGGAAUCAUACCCAAAUAAGUAUAUUCCCCAAGAAUGUACGUACAAACACACAAGAGCCUCACGUGAGGGAUGCCAUAUUUAGCAUCUGAUUCAAAACCUGAACAGCUCAAUUUCUUUUCUUUUUUUUUUGUCUUUUUGUCUUUUCAGGACCACACCCUUGGCAUAUGGAGGUUUCUUAUCUCCUAUCUGUUUAUAGGAGUUCUUUAUAUACUCUUAAUACUGAUCCAUCAUCAGUUGUGUAUACUGAGAAUAUGUUUUCUGAGUUUACAACUUGUCUUUUCCAUUUUUAAGAUAUCUUUUGAUUAACAGGUUUCUUCAUUGUAGAAGACCACAAUUUAACAAUCUUUUCACUUAUAGUCGACACUUUUAUGUCUUUUCUUAAAAAUCUCGUUUCAUGCUCAUGUCUUCUUAUUUUGGAUAAGUCAUACUGUUACAUGUGUCAUCUCUGUUUUGUUACAGAAGUUCUAUGUUUCUAAGAUUCACUGUGUUGUGAUACUACACCCAUGCACCGUCGUGUACAUUUACUUUGCUGCUCCUAAUUACACCACGUUUUAUGAGCCUACUCUCACUUAGGCCCAUUUUAUAGACCAGGCAAAUUAUAAUGUGAUCAAUUCACAAAGCCUUCCUUCUAAUUUCCCUUUUCCCAAGAACAAAGUAAUCAAGCAGAAUUGAGGUAUGGCUAACUUCUGAGGUAGAAGAGAAUGAUUACCACUCUGUACCUUCGCAAAGAUAAGUCCUUUCGUGCACUUAAAAAUGGCAUGAAUUACCUGAAAAUGUGAUGGAUGCACACAUUUUUUAAAGAAUCUACUACCUAGCCCACAUCUUGUCAAGUAAAUUUCAUCUCCUGUGCCAACAUCUAUCAUUUGAUUAUGGCCAUCUAGAGAGCUCGGAUGAAAGGAUGCUGAAGUUGUUUGAAUCCAAACACAAAGACCAUCAUGAUCAGACAGCAAUCCCUGCCCUGCCCAGGGCAUGGGAAUGGCAGCAUGCAUGCUUUGCUCUAUAAUCUCAGGUAGAGUAAGGUGUAUCUUUCAUCCCUAAACACAAAACUUGCCACUUUCUGGGAGCACAAGAAGAGCCAAAUUCUCAUGUGCUCCUCCUAAUGUUUACUUUUUUAAUUCAAUGAAUUUUAUUGUAUUUAUAGUUGUACAACCAUCAUCACUACCGAAUUUUAGAACAUUUCCAUUCCAAACCCCCAUCUUACCCGCACCAACCUGUCUCCUUUGGUAACCAUUCAUUUUUCAAAGUCUGUGAGUCUGUUUCUAUUCUGCAAAUAAGUUCAUUGUAUCAUUUUUUUAAUAUUCCACAUAUAAGUG
ensembl:lncRNA